rnacentral:rRNA from 1 species
AGGACGAACGCUGGCGGCGUGGAUUAGGCAUGCAAGUCGCGCGACGGACCUUCGGGUUACGGAGCGGCGAACGGGUGAGUAACACGUGAACAACCUACCCCAUCAUUCCGGAUAAUUGGUCGAAAGACCUUGUAAUACGGGGGAGGAUCCGACCUGGGCAUCCAGGAUGGAUCGAACGAGUAAUCGGUGCUGGGAGGGGUUCGCGGCUUAUCAGGUAGUUGGUGGGGUAACGGCCUACCAAGCCUACGACGAGUAGC